UACGGGGGGAGCAAGCGUUGUUCGGAUUUACUGGGCGUAAAGGGCGCGUAGGCGGCGCAACAAGUCACUUGUGAAAUCUCCGGGCUUAACCCGGAGCGGUCAAGUGAUACUGUCGUGCUAGAGUGCGGAAGGGGCUACUGGAAUUCUCGGUGUAGCGGUGAAAUGCGUAGAUAUCGGAGAGGAACACCGGUGGCGAAGGCGGCAUUCUGGACCACAACUGACACUGAGAGACGGAAAGCCAGGGGAGCAAACGGG
rnacentral:rRNA from 1 species